rnacentral:rRNA from 1 species
UUCCGGUUGAUCCUGCCAGAGGUUACUGCUAUCGGUGUUCGCCUAAGCCAUGCGAGUCAUAUGUAGCAAUACAUGGCGUACUGCCCAGUAACACGUGGAUAACCUGCCCUUGGGACCGGCAUAACCCCGGGAAACUGGGGAUAAUUCCGGAUAACGCAUAUUUGCUGGAAUGCUUUAUGCGUCAAAAGGAUUCGUCUGCCCAAGGAUGGGUCUGCGGCCUAUCAGGUAGUAGUGGGUGUAAUGUACCUACCAGCCAGCGACGGGUACGGGUUGUGAGAGCAAGAGCCCGGAGAUGGAUUCUGAGACACGAAUCCAGGCCCUACGGGGCGCAGCAGGCGCGAAAACUUUACAAUGCGGGCAACCGUGAUAAGGGAACCUCGAGUGCCUGUAUAUGCAGGCUGUCCAGGUGUCUAAAUAACACCUGAAGAAAGGGCCGGGCAAGACCGGUGCCAGCCGCCGCGGUAAUACCGGCGGCUCGAGUGGUGGCCGCUUUUAUUGGGCUUAAAGCGUUCGUAGCUGGGUUAUUAAGUCUCUUGGGAAAUCCGGCGGCUCAACCGUCGGGCGUCUAAGGGAUACUGGUAAUCUUGGAACCGGGAGAGGUGAGGGGUACUUCGGGGGUAGGAGUGAAAUCCUGUAAUCCUCGAGGGACCACCUGUGGCGAAGGCGCCUCACCAGAACGGCUUCGACAGUGAGGGACGAAAGCUGGGGGAGCAAACCGGAUUAGAUACCCGGGUAGUCCCAGCCGUAAACUAUGUGCGUUAGGUGUAUCGACGACCACGAGUCGUCGAGGUGCCGAAGGGAAACCGCGAAACGUACCGCCUGGGAAGUACGGUCGCAAGGCUGAAACUUAAAGGAAUUGGCGGGGGAGCACCACAACAGGUGGAGCCUGCGGUUUAAUUGGACUCAACGCCGGGAAUCUCACCGGAUAAGACAGCGGAAUGAUUGCCGGGCUGAAGACUCUGCAUGACUAGCUGAGAGGAGGUGCAUGGCCGUCGUCAGUUCGUACUGUGAAGCAUCCUGUUAAGUCAGGCAACGAGCGAGACCCACGCCAACAGUUGCCAGCACGAUCCCCGGAUCGGUGGGGACACUGUUGGGACCGCCUCUGCUAAAGGGGAGGAAGGAAUGGGCAACGGUAGGUCAGCAUGCCCCGAAUUAUCCGGGCUACACGCGGGCUACAAUGGGCAGGACAAUGGGUAUCGACAUCGAAAGGUGAAGGCAAUCUCCUAAACCUGUCCGUAGUUCGGAUUGUGGGCUGUAACUCGCCCACAUGAAGCUGGAAUCUGUAGUAAUCGCGUUUCAAAAUAACGCGGUGAAUGUGUCCCUGCUCCUUGCACACACCGCCCGUCAAACCACCCGAGUGGGGUUUGGAUGAGGCUGCGGUCGUUGCCGCAGUCGAAUCUAGGUUCCGCAAGGGGGGUUAAGUCGUAACAAGGUAGCC